rnacentral:lncRNA from 1 species
UGCAUACCAACAAAAUGUUGGAGGAGUACUUUGUCAUUAAAUGAUAACAAAUCAAAAGAUUUAAGUUAAUUUAUUAAAUAUUACCUAGUUCUCAUAUAAUUUGUGUUAGGGUUUAAAGAUAGGUUGUUCCUUAUCUAGGCUUGUAACAUGUUACGAGACAUAUUGCUAAAGCUAACAAAGUAGAGUUGGCCAUUGUCCAAUGACUCAUUAGUUUGCUCAUAUGUUGUAAGCAUGUGCAAAAGGGGUAUGUGAGGUCUUGACUCAUGUAGUGUAACACAUGAAGAAGAAUAUGUGGAGGAGACAAAUGUCAAUGGCCAACUUUUUAUGCACAUAAAUCAAUGCCUUAAAAGAGCAUCAAGUAGAUCAAAUGCACUAAGAAUUGAUGCCACUUUGAGGAGUCUUUUGGGUGGUGGUAAAGAUUGGUAAGUUGACAUGUCAACUCAACUUCUCAAAAUUUUUUUUGAUUCAUCUAGU